rnacentral:rRNA from 1 species
CCUGCAGCUGGAUCAUUUU